rnacentral:misc_RNA from 1 species
GAAGACACUCGCCUUUGGUAUUCCCAUUUUGGAUAAGAUUAUCCGCAAUCAGGGCCAGCAAAGGAGAAAACGAAUUCCCUCUGCUUUGGUUCUCGCACCUACGCGUGAACUUGCACGUCAGGUGCAAAGGGAGUUCAAAGAAUCAGCUCCAAAUUUGAGCAGCACCUGUGUCUAUGGCGGAAUACCAAUUAUGCACCAAGUGCGGGAUCUUGGGUUGGGUAUGGAUAUUGUUGUGGGGACGCCUGGAAGAAUUAUUGACUUGGUUGAAAGAGGGGCCUUAGAUCUCUCAGAAGUCAAAUUUGCUGUGCUGGAUGAAGCUGAUCAGAUGCUGGCU